rnacentral:lncRNA from 10 species
AUGAAAUUGGAUUAAAAUGUACCCAUCCAUGAAAAAGAUUUAGUUAAAAGAUUUUGUUACUAUUCAUUUUAUUGGAAGAAAAGAGAAUGGAUUUUCUCAGCGGUCCCAUACUCUGAUCUAUGGAAUAAUAGUUAUUUAAGAUAUUUCUAAGCAUUCUUCCAAAAAAGUCCUGUUGACCAGUCUAUCAGGGAAAUGCAUUCUGUAACCACCUUUAGAGAUUCAAAAUCUAUAUGAGCCUAAUAAAUCCUCUGAAAAGUCCUGUAAACAGGAAUCCUGUUUAAUAUUGUUUAUCUUCAGGCUUCACUAAUUUAUAUGAGCAGAAAGCACUUCUUUUCGUGCUAUAACUGUUAACAUUUUCAAAAACUAGAGCUCCAUAGAACCCCGGUUGGUCUACUUCAGACUAGAGUAAUACUCUUGUGACGUAUUCCUAAACCUAAUGUUUCCAAUAAGAGUAAAAUUACUGUUUGAAUUGGCCUCCGAUAGACUACCAAAAAAAUAUUGACUGUGUCAGUGCUUAGAUCAUAAAAGUAUAUUGACCAGAUAUUUUCAGGGGAAUUGGCUACUUUUUGCCUGAAGCAUCCAUCAUAGCAAUGGAUUAAGAGGUAAUUGAAUAGACAUUUAAUUUUCUACACUCUCACUAUCUGAGCAGAUCUUGGGUUCUUUUUGUGCGUGCAAAGCUCUGGUAUCCAUUGAGUGAAACGCUGGUGCUUUAGUACUCAGUUUCACAAAAGGGUUAAUGAAUUUUCCCUCAUGGCUUCUGAUUACCUCUUUGUUAUAUCAACUAGACCAUGGUAGAGCAUAACAGCUCAUACCAGCACAGGGGCCAACUACUCACUUAAAUAUGACAUCUCUGAGUCAUUUUCUUCCCAGAGGCUUUGUUUCAAAGUAUCCCAGAAAGAAAUACUGUUGUUUGACUCAGCAUUUCACUCCAGUUGGUUUUCAUUCCACUCUGGUUUUGCUCAACUUUCUCAGAAAUUUUGCUUGUUACUGACAACUCCCUAGUAGGAAAAACACAUUCAGAAGUUGCCCUACAGUAUUUAGGAUGGAUUCUUUUUUCAUUAUUCUGUCAAAUAUUCUGUGUUCCUCAGUUCUUACAGGAGUCCAGAAGUUGCAGUCUUCUGUGACUCUUUAAAAAAUGAUUAUUUAAAUGUCAUUUGCAUUGAGGCCUGACUUUUGUCACUUUACUCUGGUACAAACACAUGUAUUUUUAUAUCAGAGGAACAAAAGAGAGAAUGUGAUCUUGGAGAAAUAAAAUUGAGUAAAGUCCCAUGUAAAUUAACUUGUAUUUCCAGGGUCUCUCUUCAUCUCUGUGUCAAGACAUUUGUUUUAACUUCAGGGGAUGUACUCAGAAGCCAUUCAACACUGCAUAUGUCUUGAGGGUUUCUAGGAAAGAAAAAAAUUACAUAAUUUUCAGCUUAGAAGUCUAAGACCAAACAUAAAGAUAUAUCAAGACUUUAAAGAAGGUUGGAGGCAGACACUUGACCCAUGUUAAUCCUGUUUUCUUUCUUGCCAAUUUUUGUAGUUAUCUCCUACCUGAAGAAGAAUCAGAGAUUAUGUUCUUCCUUGACUUUCACUGAAGUCCUUUUUAUACCUUUUUUCUAUGACCCAGUCACCUAUAUCUCACAUGAGCUAUCCCAAAUGGAUUCUGUGGCAUCUGAAUCUAGUAACAAAACCUUUGGGACCAAAGGCAUUCAUUCUACUCAGCACUUAGCAACACCUGGAGAAUCCAGUGGUCUGUGCUUCAGUGGUCUCAAGAGCUCUUCAUGGCAGUUCUGUAAGAAAGUUGCUGGCUUUAACGCAGGGCUGGUUUCAAUAUAGGGCAGCUGUUUUCUGCUGUGAGUCUUCUGGAGGAAAAAGAAUGGGUUCACGGAAACUGAAAGUAACUGAAAAAUGUAUCCUGGCUGGUGAGUGUAGGAAGAGUAGUUCAUUGUUCUAAUGGUUGAAUAUAUUUCAAAAGAACAUUUAAUAAGAAUUGGAGAACACAAGCAUUUCAAAUAAAUGGCAAUGAUCAUAUGAGCAUGUGUAAGAGAAUUUAAUUGCAGAGGAAAAUGGAUGAUUAUGCAUAUCACACUGCCUCUAAUAUUGAUCUUGAGUUGGUUUCCAAAUUGAUAAGUAAAUACAUUCUAUAUUGAAAAUCAUUUUAAAUGUCUAUUUAUAUCUUUUAAAUAUUGCCAAUAAUUAGCUUAAAUACAUGCCCUCAAAAUAUUCAGGAAUCUACUCGGUCCUUUCCUUCUCAUCCUUGAUUAGAAGUUAAAAAUCAGAUUUCUCUAGCUUUGUUUUAAAAGAUACAGAAAAUUUAAUUUUCCAAUUAUCCAAGCACAAUCUCCUUUCAUUCAUUUACUCAUUUAAUUAUGCAACAUCUACUGAGUAUCCAUUAUCAUAGUAAUCGAGCUGCCCGUCACUGAAGUCAUUAUCAAACUGUGGUUUAAACCUUAGCUCUGUGUUUCUCCACAUUAACUCCUUUGGCUUCCAUAUUGAUUGCAACUUGUGUCUCAUUCUGUCAUCUAAAUCAUGUGGUUUAGAGAUAGGCCUUAGUGUCCACCUGGCCAGGCACAAGUCUGGCGUUAAGGACCUACCUGCUUUAAUGAUCCACUCUCAGGGAGUCAGAACAGUUAAGUACUAAAAAGACAAGGAUCUGGAGUGAGAGUCCCUAGGGCUAUGUCACUGGAUUCAUGUUUCUUUAUGGGCAAGCUACUUAACAUCUCUGCAUCCCCAUCUCUCAAAAUAACCAUAACACUACCUACCUCACAAGGGUGCUGUGAGGCUUACCAUGAAAAGCAUGAGGAAAUGGUAUAUAGAAUUGGGGACCUAGUAGAAAGGUGCUACAGGAUUAGAGUAACUAGAUAUCAUUGAGUAUGAACCCUGCUUUCCCUGGGAGCCCCAGGUUUGCCAGAAUAUGUCUAAUCUCUUUACGGCUAGAAUCUAAAAUGGUGUUGGCCAUCGAUUGGCUUAGGUUAUCUUUAAUGUCAUUGACUUUUACAAAAUUCGUAACGACACCUCUUUCUCAGAGAGAUGCUGGAUUGGAAAAAUUAUUAAAUUAAUUUUAACAAAGGAGAACAAAAAUGAUUCACUUCCAGGUGCUGGGUGUGGCGGAACAGUUAUUUAUUUCAAUAUGAAACAAGAGUUUGAAUGGAUAUCUUCAAGGGGAUGCAUUUUAUUGGAGACAUUUAUUGCCUGGGGCUUUCUGUUUUCAGUCUGACUCCCCAGCUUUCUGUAUCAUUGUUUUAACAUACAUCCCCUUUUCUCCUUUAUUGGAAGAGAAGCUAUAAUUCUCCUCAUUUCAUGAUAAUCCUUUUCAGUCUGUUUUGCUCAAAGGACAAAUUCUUUUCAACAACUAUUGUAAUUAUUUUCUUAGAGGGCCAUUUUUAAUUGCCGUAUUGUUUAGCUAAGCCCUAUUGUCUUGGUGUCCUUCAAAACUGUCAGUUGCAUUAAAAUAUAGGGGUGGGAGGGGAGCUGAUAAGCACAUUGUUGUAAUUGAUUUGUAUGUUUGAAUUGUCUUAUCAGAAAACAAGGUUAUGAAUUUCAUCUGUUGAGACACAAAAAUAAAAUACUUUCUUAAAAA